AUUGAACGCUGGCGGCAGGCCUAACACAUGCAAGUCGGGCGAGUGGCGGACGGGUGAGUAAUGUAUGGGGAUCUGCCUGAUGGAGGGGGAUAACUACUGGAAACGGUAGCUAAUACCGCAUACCAUCCGAUGCACCCCUAUGGGAUUAGUGUGUAGGUGAGGUAACGGCUCACCAGGGCGACGAUCCCUAGCUGGUCUGAGAGGAUGAUCAGCCACACUGGAACGGAGACACGGCCCAGACUCCUCCGGUAGGCAGCAGUGGGGAUUAUUGCACAAUGGGAUCAAGCCUGAUGAAGCCAUGCCGCGUGUAUGAUGAAGGCAUUCGGGUUGUAAAGUACUUUCAGUCGGGAGGCGUUACCGACAGAAGAAGCACCGGCUAACUCCGUGCCAGCAGCCGCGGUAAUUC
rnacentral:rRNA from 1 species